GACGAACGCUGGCGGCGUGCUUAACACAUGCAAGUCGAACGGAAAGGCCCUGCUUUUGUGGGGUGCUCGAGUGGCGAACGGGUGAGUAACACGUGAGUAACCUGCCCUUGACUUUGGGAUAACUUCAGGAAACUGGGGCUAAUACCGGAUAGGAGCCCCUGCUGCAUGGUGGGGUUGGAAAGUUUCGGCGGUUGGGGAUGGACUCGCGGCUUAUCAGCUUGUUGGUGGGGUAGUGGCUUACCAAGGCUUUGACGGGUAGCCGGCCUGAGAGGGUGACCGGCCACAUUGGGACUGAGAUACGGCCCAGACUCCUACGGGAGGCAGCAGUGGGGAAUAUUGCACAAUGGGCGGAAGCCUGAUGCAGCAACGCCGCGUGCGGGAUGACGGCCUUCGGGUUGUAAACCGCUUUCGCCUGUGACGAAGCGUGAGUGACGGUAAUGGGUAAAGAAGCACCGGCUAACUACGUG
rnacentral:rRNA from 1 species